ACGCUCGACACCUACGGGAGGCAGCAGUGAGGAAUAUUGGUCAAUGGACGCAAGUCUGAACCAGCCAUGCCGCGUGCAGGAUGACGGCUCUAUGAGUUGUAAACUGCUUUUGUACGAGGGUAAACGCAGAUACGUGUAUCUGUCUGAAAGUAUCGUACGAAUAAGGAUCGGCUAACUCCGUGCCUGCAGCCGCGGUAAUCUGAGCGGGCGUGGCAAGGC
rnacentral:rRNA from 1 species